CUCAUUCUCUUCCUUGCAACUCUCACUCUCUCCAGAGAACCCUAGCAUCCUCGGUAAUGGCAAUGCUUGAAGAAGGAAACCAAAACACAGCCAUCGAACUAGCUUGGUAAUGUUCACCAUCCUCUCACACGAUUUUUCAUGUGGUUUGGUUUCCUGGUCAGAGGAUGUCCAGGCCUUUGUUGUUGGUGUUUGAUUCUUCUCGCACAGCUUCAGUUGUAUUGCUAACCCAUUGCUAAUUCAAAGACUAACUAUCAUGACAGAUUCUGGAA